rnacentral:rRNA from 1 species
AACGAACGCUGGCGGCAUGCCUAACACAUGCAAGUCGAACGAGACCUUCGGGUAUAGUGGCGCACGGGUGCGUAACGCGUGGGAACCUGCCCUUAGGUUCGGAAUAACUCCCCGAAAGGGGUGCUAAUACCGGAUAAUGUCUUCGGACCAAAGAUUUAUCGCUUUUGGAUGGGCCCGCGUUGGAUUAGCUAGUUGGUAGGGUAAAAGCCUACCAAGGCGACGAUCCAUAGCUGGUCUGAGAGGAUGAUCAGCCACACUGGGACUGAGACACGGCCCAGACUCCUACGGGAGGCAGCAGUGGGGAAUAUUGGACAAUGGGCGAAAGCCUGAGCCAGCAAUGCCGCGUGAGUGAUGAAGGCCUUAGGGUUGUAAAGCUCUUUUACCCGGGAUGAUAAUGACAGUACCGGGAGAAGAAGCGCCGGCUAACUCCG